rnacentral:rRNA from 1 species
GAACGCUGGCGGCAUGCCUUACACAUGCAAGUCGAACGGUAACGCGGGGCAACCUGGCGACGAGUGGCGAACGGGUGAGUAAUGCAUCGGAACGUGCCCAGUAGUGGGGGAUAGCCCGGCGAAAGCCGGAUUAAUACCGCAUACGACCUACGGGUGAAAGCGGGGGACCGCAAGGCCUCGCGCUAUUGGAGCGGCCGAUGUCAGAUUAGCUAGUUGGUGGGGUAAAGGCCUACCAAGGCGACGAUCUGUAGCUGGUCUGAGAGGACGACCAGCCACACUGGGACUGAGACACGGCCCAGACUCCUACGGGAGGCAGCAGUGGGGAAUUUUGGACAAUGGGGGCAACCCUGAUCCAGCCAUGCCGCGUGCGGGAAGAAGGCCUUCGGGUUGUAAACCGCUUUUGUCGGGGAAGAAACGGUCUGCGCUAAUACCGCGGGCUAAUGACGGUACCCGAAGAAUAAGCACCGGCUAACUACGUGCCAGCAGCCGCGGUAAUACGUAGGGUGCAAGCGUUAAUCGGAAUUACUGGGCGUAAAGCGUACGCAGGCUGUCAUAAAAGUUAGAAGUGAAAGCCCCGGGCUUAACCCGGGAAUUGCUUUUAAAACUGUAUGACUAGAGUACUGGAGAGGUUGGCGGAAUUCCGAGUGUAGCAGUGAAAUGCGUAGAUAUUCGGAGGAACACCGAUGGCGUAGGCAGCCAACUGGACAGUUACUGACGCUCAUGUACGAAAGCGUGGGGAUCAAACAGGAUUAGAUACCCUGGUAGUCCACGCCCUAAACGAUGUGUGCUAGUUGUCGGAGUCUUUAGGCCCCGGUGACGCAGCUAACGCUUUAAGCA